AGCUGACACUCGAGAACAGCACCUCCACCUGAGGCGGGUCCCGCGGCCGCCCCCACAUCACCAGCUCACCGAGGCUCGGCCUGGGUCGCCUAAGCGAAGUUGAGCUACACACCCAGGGCGCCGCGGCCUGGGGCGAGGCGGGGGUCCGGUCACUUCUCUCUCUCCCCCCUCCCCUCCGUCUCUACUCACGAUGGUGACGCUGGCCUUGCGAAGGUCGCGGUUCUCCUCCUGCAGCGCUUUGCACUUGAGCUUGUAGGUCUCCAGCUCGAUCUUUAGCACCUUGUUCUCCUGCUGCAGCGACGCCAGACGGUUCGUCAGCUCCUCCAGCCGGAACGGCGAGAUCACGAUGCCGCCCGCUUUGGUGCCCCCCGCCGAGCCAGGCCCCGCCGGGCAGCCGGGCAGCGCUCCCGGUGCCCCUCCACCGCCACUUCCACUGCCUCCUGCGCCGUCCGUGUCGCUCUCACUGGCGCUGUCGGCCAUGCCCGAGCACUGAGGACGUGGAGGAGGCUCCGGCUGCUGCAGAAGGGGCUGUUCCCACUGCUUCGCCUCGACCCACCCCCGCUCGUUUGCUCGCCUCUCAGGCGGCGGCGAGUGCGAGGGACGGAGGCGGGGUCGGCGACGAAAGCGCACUGCCUGGGCCGUGCAGCGAGAAGAGGCUGGCGCAAGCUCCGUCCGCACCGAACAACCUUCUCGCUUGACGCCAAGAAGGGAGCUGCCCGAUUCCCUUGGCGGGCCCACAGCGACGCCGACCGCGGCCUACCGAUACUGCAACAGAUACAGCCAAUGGCCAUGGCUGGCUGGGCGGGAACAUCACGCGCCGCUACUCGGCGGCCUCCCUCGCUACCCCUUCGGCUGGGCGGAACCAGCAGAGUCCAUCGAAGCCGAACAGAAAGACUGUUAAAGUCUCUCCUUCGCUCAGCACGGCUGCCUCAGAUAAACAUCCGGCAGCGUUGUCCUCCGGCCUGACGUACAGCCCACUAGGGCCGUAGUCCUAUGUACUCUUAGAGGCUGCAAUCCUGAACAUAUUUGUAAGAAAAUAAGGCCACUUGAACACAGAGGGACUUACUUCGGAGUGAAUAUGCGUGGGGUUGCCCUGAUGGACAUUCUAAGGCUGCAGUCCUAUACACUGUUAGGAGUAACUACUUAACUCAAUGAUUCUCAAACAGUGCUCCCAGGCACACUGGUGCGCCCUAAGAGGUGGCUAGGUGUGCAUCAAAUAUUAUGAAAGUAUAUUUUAAAAAUGAGAAGAAACCCAUUUGUAUAGGAGAUGCUGAGGCAUCACCAGCAAUCAGCAGGCCUCUAUCCCGAACACAGUCUUCUCCCCUUGUGAUACAAUUGUGGUACAGAAAAGCAAGUAUCUAACUCUUCAUUGCUGCUAAGGAAAUAGCUGCUUUGCUACUGAGGGCGGUAGAGAAGUGCCAUCAGAAAGCUUGAGAAGAGAAGCCAAUAGGCUGUGUUUGCGAGUCAUUGUGAUAUCGGCAGCCCAGUGUGACAUCAGCAGCUGGUAGCAUCCACGGAAUGGGAAUGAAAGAAGGGAGACAGGACACAGGACCCAGAGUUAAAGGGGUGACAUAGAAGGGAUAAAAGGAAGAAGGGAAGCAGCCAAUUUGGGAAAGAAGGUGUAGAAGAAGAAAAGCCCAAGGGGACAGAAGCUGGAUCAAGAAACGCGUGGAGGCUUACAAAAGGAAGCCAGAACAUGAGAGGUGGCAGGAGCUGGAGGGAAGAGGGGAAAUGAUGCAGCAGACAGAGGAGGCAUGAAGGCGAAGAGAUGGAGAUGCCCAGAGAAAAGAAAGUGGGGCAAAGGCACUUGGGAGCAGGGGAAAUGGUACCCACCAACCAACUCGGGCAUAUAGUCCUUCUUUAUAGCCACAUUUUCAACAUGCAUUACUUCCACCAUUUGCAAAGGAGUAUGAAUAAUACCACAAUAUACAUGUAAGUGAAGAGCUUUAACACAAUUUAUUUUAUGCUUAAAUAAUCAACUAGAUCAUCCAGUGUUUGUGUUUUCUUCAUACAUAAUUAGAGCUAUGAUCAAUGAAUUCUGUUUUCAUAUGAAGAUAAUUAACAAAUUAAAGUAUUUCACCAAAAACCCAAAUAAAAAUGCCCUUUAAAACACAGCAGCCUUAACAACCUAAUAUUACACUGCUAGAAUGAUUACAGAUGAUUGGCUUACUUAAAGAUUCUACAUCUUAGAGCCAGUACACAAUACAGUAAUAUUUUUACAGCGUGCUGCCAGUCUGUUAGCUAAGAAUUUCUCUUCAUUUCUUUUUUUAAAUAUCCCAAACUUGUGCUCACAAGAGCACCAACCCAUUUCUAAAAGCUGCAAGCAUUUCCCCCGGUAUAAAGCAAGAACAGAUAGCACCCCCUCCCUAUAAUGCAACUACUGUAUAUGUUAUGAUUUCUUUAAAUUUUAGGUCAUUUCCACUGAAAAAAUUGGCAACAGCAACAAAUAUUAGAUGAAGGACUUUGUGUUUACAGGUAAAGGGCACACUACACCGAGCACUGCUGCUGUGUAACCACCCUUCAUUUUCAGUGGUGCUUGUGCUGGAGCCCACUGCAAGCCCCAUUUAAAUGACUGGGGGGCCCUUAGCGGCUGUGCUUGGUUGAUUGCACCCCCAGAAUCUUAUUUGUCACGUUGCGGUCUAGUGUUUGCAAAACUGGAAAAUAUUUCAUCAAAAUAAGGUGAAACGCAUGCAUCAAAAUAUUAGUACUC